AUGAACUAUAUCUUAAGAAUUCAUAAAGCCCUAAAAAGUAAAUAUUUACAACCAGAAAUCUUUCUGACAAAGAAACAAGAUUACUCAAAGUAAGUAGUAGUUUGGGCUCCCUGGAAAGAACCCAGAACUUAAGUGUCAGGAAAUGUGGAUAGUUCUGAAUGUGCCCCUGGCUGGUUGAUGACUCUGGGCAACUUAUGCAGUACCUCUAACUCAUGGUUUAUUUACCUGAAAAAUAAGUGGGUUGGCUAUGUCUGUGGUUUGAAAGGUGCUCUAUGAUGUCCCAGAUGUCUUAGCAGUGUAUCAUUGGCUGUUUUGGAGGCUGUCAGGGGUCCAGAUGGCUGCUCCCACUGAGCCUGCUUUUAACAGAGCUUUUCAGUUUGUAUUUCUUGUAUACACAAAGUAAUAUUAAAUAAAAAAAAUAUAAUCCAGCUAAGAAAGUUUGAGAAUACUGGCUUGAGAUUCAAAAUAAAAUAAACCAAAAAUUUUAGAAAUUAUAUUAGUCUAGAAAGAUAGUAUUGUGUCUCUUUGUCUUUUUAGUACCUAGCACAUAUCAGGUACUUGAUACAUAUUUAUCAUAUGAAUGCAAUGGUUGUAAUGAACAACUGGGAAGGAAAUGCAAAAGCAGAAGGCACCAUAUUUGUGUUGCUAUUCCUGGGUGUCAUUUCUAUGUAACUUGUGAUAACCAGUAGUAAAGAACAACAUGGACUAUGUUUAAUAGACAACAACUAAUUUUAUUGGAUUUGUGUACAUAAUCUGAAAUUUAGUCUAAGGACAAGCCAUAUUACUAUAAAUUCCAGGAAAUCUAGAGAGAAAAAAUGGGCAAUUUAGAACAGACUAGAAGAGUAACUCUUUCAGUUUGUCUGGAAAACCGAAUCUAAGGAAUAAGGUCAGUUUGCAGUUUCUUUCAAGUAGAAUUGGUGACUCUUGGAUGCAGUUUAUAAACACGUAACACAUUUUCCUUGCAUGGAAAUAUAUCUAUUCUAUGACCUCUUCUACAUGAAGAAAAGAUUUGAAAUUUUCUUCUCCAUUAAAUAAUGUUUUGUGUGCAUGUUGCAAAAAUAAGAGAGAAGCAAGAAUAACUCUAGCAGAUGCUUAAAGGUUUAAGAUUAAAGACACAUGUAAAUGUGAUUCAUAGUGGGUGUUCUGUGCACUUGAGUGAAUAUUCCCAAAUCACAGCUAGAAAAAUUUAGGAGUAAAUUGACUUAACUUAUGGUAAAUCAAUAGGGGUCCCUGAAUUGGAGGGAAACAGAUGAGCAAGAAAAAAAUUAUUUGACAGGACUCCACUAAGGAAAACAACAUUCAAGUAACAGAUGAGGUAUUCUACUGCCCAGAGGAAUUACCCAGCCUUUAGCAAGGCGAAGUCAGCCUCAACUGGCAGGAGGUUUGUUUUAAAACUGAAAUGAGAAAAAGGAUCUGGGCUUACAAAUGAUGGGAAGAUAUAUUAUCAACAGGGAAAAAAACCCCCAGAAAAUAGCAACUAACUUGUUUCCCCAGCACAACUGAAAGGAUGAAGAAGGAAAACAAUUUAAUGUACCCUGGUCAUGCAGUUACUUUCCUUUAUCCUUACUAACAGUGCUUGUCAAGAUGGUUCUGGAAACUGAAUAAAUGUAAGUAAUGAAUCAUGA
rnacentral:lncRNA from 10 species